GACGUAGGGCGCGAGCGUUGUCCGGAAUUAUUGGGCGUAAAGAGCUUGUAGGCGGUCUGUCGCGUCUGCUGUGAAAAUCCGGGGCUCAACCCCGGACUUGCAGUGGGUACGGGCAGACUAGAGUGUGGUAGGGGAGACCGGAAUUCCUGGUGUAGCGGUGAAAUGCGCAGAUAUCAGGAGGAACACCGAUGGCGAAGGCAGGUCUCUGGGCCACUACUGACGCUGAGAAGCGAAAGCAUGGGGAGCGAACAGG
rnacentral:rRNA from 1 species